UCAGAAAUAUACAUUGCCACACAGGCAAGUCAAAACAAUGCCACACAUGCAAGUCAAAUGAUGACACACAGGCAACCAAAAUAAUGUCACACAGGCAAAUCACACAUUGGACCGCGAAUCCAAAUGUAUGCAAAUCGGAUAGGUGUGUUUGGCACAACAUCACAAAUCCGCAGAACAGAAAACUAGGGUUAACCCAUAUGCCUCCCACAACAAAACACCAAAUGGCCCACUUCCUCCGGAGCCCAAAACGGAGACGCCGUGGACUAAUCACACCGCCACGGAAAGUGUCAUGCCUCUCGUGCCAAGACGACAUACCUGUGGUACCCCCACAGGUGGUUAUAGCUCAAGUAUACCAUACGAUAUAUUCUAACAAAAAUAUCAUGUCACAAUAUAUGCGACAUCAUACCAACAAAAGGGUUCUAUAUGUACAUGUUGAACCAAAUCAAAUUAUAGUAAUAAUAUCUCAAAAAGAAGGUAUCAACAUGUACCGCUCUACAAUUAUCAAGAAUAAAUACUAAGCACGAUAACCUAACUCAAAGAGUACAAAUACGAGUCAUAUAUAUCAACUCCAAAAUGAAACUAUUAUAUGAAUUUCACAAGAAACAAUUAUGUGAAAUAAUAACAAAAUUUGAAAUAAGGGACAAAACAAACAAAUCAAAUUUAACAAGAAUGUCGCUGAAAGAGUACGAAAUCCUUACCUGACACUUCCAAACCAUUUAUAGCACACUCCAUAAAAUCUUACCCUCAAAUGCCAACGAUGUCAAAUACGAAACGUCUGUAACACCCCCUUCCCGAAAAGGAAAGGGAGGUCACGUGCAAAGCACAACAAACCUCAAAAUAAGUAAACAGAGCACUAAUAACUUUGAAAUAUUAAUAGUGAUAUCCAUCAAUGAAGUACUAAAUACAAUUCUCCAAAUAGGUCAAAAUAACCAAAACUAAAAUUCAAAACAACCUAGAUGGUUAAAGACAACUCUCUCAUCACACUAGCCUUGAAUCACCCCUGCAAACCUGCAAGAAGAAAAAUACAGCAUGAGCCAAUUGCCCAGUACAGAUAUAGAUAAUACAAAGAUGUGCAACUGAUAUACGAAAUCAACCGAGACAAAAUACUGAACAAAGCCUCAAGUAUAAAUACUAACGAAAAUAUAAUCUCCAAAGAUUUGAAUGGAAUAUAUCGGAAUCAACAUAAUUAACGAAACUAAUAGAAGAGUAAAGAACUAACGAACUGAAAUAACUAACUCAAUGAAUUGAACUGAACAGAAACAAACAAAACUUAUACAAUGAAAUAAUAGGCUGAAUCAAAUGGUUGGGUGUUAUUUCAUACAGAAUGAGCUCAGAAAUAUACAUUUCCACACAAGCAAGUCAAAAUAAUGCCACACAGGAAAGUCAAAUGAUGUCACACAUGCAACCAAAAUAAUGUCACACAGGCAAAUCACACAUUGGACCGCGAAUCCAAAUGUAUGCAAAUCGGAUAGGUGUGUUUGGCACAACAUCACAAAUCCGCAGAACAGAAAACUAGGGUUAACCCAUACGCCUCCCACAACAAAACACCAAAUGGCUCGCUUCCUCCGGAGCCCAAAACGGAGACGCCGUGGACUAAUCACAC
rnacentral:lncRNA from 1 species